rnacentral:rRNA from 1 species
ACGUAGGUGGCAAGCGUUGUCCGGAUUUAUUGGGUUUAAAGGGUGCGUAGGUGGCCCUGUAAGUCAGUGGUGAAAUAUCUCAGCUUAACUGAGAGGGUGCCAUUGAUACUGCAGGGCUUGAGUACAGAUGAGGUAGGCGGAAUUGACGGUGUAGCGGUGAAAUGCAUAGAUAUCGUCAAGAACACCGAUAGCGAAGGCAGCUUACCAAGCUGUAACUGACACUGAGGCACGAAAGUGUGGGGAUCAAACAGGA